CAGCAGCCACGGUAAUACGAAGGGUGCAAGCGUUAAUCGGAAUUACUGGGCGUAAAGCGUGCGUAGGCGGUGAGUUAAGUCUGCUGUGAAAUCCCCGGGCUCAACCUGGGAAUGGCAGUGGAUACUGGCUCGCUAGAGUGUGUCAGAGGAUGGUGGAAUUCCCGGUGUAGCGGUGAAAUGCGUAGAGAUCGGGAGGAACAUCAGUGGCGAAGGCGGCCCCCUGGGCCAACACCGACGCUCAUGCACGAAAGCGUGGGGAGCAAACAGGAUUAGAUACCCCCGUAGUCCCUGUCUCUUAUAC
rnacentral:rRNA from 1 species